GACGAACGCUGACGGCGUGCUUAACACAUGCAAGUCGAAGGGAGUGGCGAACGGGUGAGUAACACGUGAGUACCCUGCUCUUUUCUUUGGGAUAAGCCUGGGCAACUGGGGCUAAUACUGGAUGGAUUGGGAUGGUCUCGCGGCUUAUCAGCUUGUUGGUAGGGUGAUGGCUUACCAAGGCUUUGCCGGGUAGCCGGCCUGAGAGGGUGGUCGGUCACACUGGGACUGGGAUACGGCCCAGAUUCCUACGGGAGGCAGCAGUGGUGGAUAUUGCACAAUGGACGAAAGUCUGAUGCAGCGACGUCGUGUGGGGGAUGAAGGCCUUCGAGUUGUAAACUCCUUUCGCCAGCGGAAUGGUAGUGAGUAAAGAAGCGCCGGCUAACUACGUGCCAGCAGCCGCGGUAAUUC
rnacentral:rRNA from 1 species